GAGCCUACGGGAGGCAGCAGUGGGGAAUAUUGGGCAAUGGGCGCAAGCCUGACCCAGCAACGCCGCGUGAAGGAAGAAGGCUUUCGGGUUGUAAACUUCUUUUAAGAGGGAAGAGCAGAAGACGGUACCUCUUGAAUAAGCCACGGCUAACUACGUGCCAGCAGCCGCGGUAAUACGUAGGUGGCAAGCGUUGUCCGGAUUUACUGGGUGUAAAGGGCGUGCAGCCGGGAAGACAAGUCAGAUGUGAAAUCCCGCGGCUCAACCGCGGAACUGCAUUUGAAACUGCGUGGCUAGAGUGCAGGAGG
rnacentral:rRNA from 1 species